UACGAAGGGGGCUAGCGUUGCUCGGAAUCACUGGGCGUAAAGCGCACGUAGGCGGCUUUUUAAGUCAGGGGUGAAAUCCUGGAGCUCAACUCCAGGACUGCCUUUGAUACUGAGAAGCUUGAGUCCGGGAGAGGUGAGUGGAACUGCGAGUGUAGAGGUGAAAUUCGUAGAUAUUCGCAAGAACACCAGUGGCGAAGGCGGCUCACUGGCCCGGUACUGACGCUGAGGUGCGAAAGCGUGGGGAGCAAACAGG
rnacentral:rRNA from 1 species